rnacentral:tRNA from 1 species
GUGGGUGUCGUCUAGUGGCCCAAGACGCUUACGUCUCCGUCGCCGACUUUGAUCUCGGGAGGGACACAACUUCAGAGGCGUGCCCGGUGCGCAGGCUACGGAUCCUUCAAUUGAGAACCAGGUGUCGCGGGUUCGAGUCCCGUCGCCCUGCG